UAACAUCUUUAAAAUAAAAUAAAAAUGCAGGUUCCCAGGCCUUGCCUCUGGCACCUGGAAUUCCAUUUGUCAGUUGGCCCAAGAACAUCUGUGGUCCAGACGCAAGCUCCAGCCCCAACCAACCGCCUGCUGGGCCGCUCUCUCCUGUGACCACAGGAUUACAGCUCCCUCUACUGGCCGAGCUCCGCUGGCGGAGGCCUUGCUUGUGGUCAGACGCACAGAAUGUGGCCAGAGUCUGACAAAGGCUGGGGAAAGAGGACUGAAUGCUCCUGGCCACCCGUGGGGGCCCCAGGAAAUCCUCAGAGCCCUUGGGGAGGACAGACGCAUUUGUAGACCUGUCUGCCCGCACAACAAUCUGGUCCCACGAUAUGAACCAGUCAAACCUGCAGCUGGCCAACAGCCACUCACAGCUACCGCACCUGGUUUGGCUGCACUGGGGGUUGUGUGCCGGCCUUGAACAACACCAGGAGGAACUAAGCAGGGGUGGCGAGGCGGCCUGGGCCGGCGUCUCUUCCACCUCCGGGCCAGGGCUUCCCAGGCUGCUGGCAGCAGCUGGAUGUGACCCACACUAGGCAGGGAGGUCAAGAUAAAAACAACAGUAAAACCAUAGAACAAGGAAAUCCACAAAGGUCUGCAGGCCCAGCGCCGCAAGGGAGAGCUGGGGCGGGUGUGCCACCUGGUGGCCAAGCCUGGUACCUCGGCGCCUGGUCUGGCUUCGAAGCCGGGCUCGGCCCUGGGCUCCACACGCCAAGGACACAGACUCCAGAAGCUCAGGCUCUACCUGCAGCAGCCCAGGCCUUGGGAUGGAAGUCACACGGAAUAGAAAUCACCCAUUUCCAUGCACAAUUCAGUGGCUCUUAGCACAUGGACAGAGUUGGGUGAUCAUUACCACAACGGAUCCAGAACAUUUCCAUCCCGAAAGAAACUCCGUGCCCUUACUAGCCAGCCAGCUCCACAUCCCCUUCCUCGAUUCCUGGCAACUCUCGCCAGCUGUGUCUAUCAGUUUGCCAGUUCUGGACGUUUCACAUAAACACAAUAAUACACUCUGUGGCCUCUG